UACGGAGGGGGCUAGCGUUGUUCGGAAUUACUGGGCGUAAAGCGCGCGUAGGCGGCUAUUCAAGUCAGAGGUGAAAGCCUGGUGCUCAACACCAGAACUGCCUUUGAAACUAGAUAGCUAGAAUCACGGAGAGGUCAGUGGAAUUCCGAGUGUAGAGGUGAAAUUCGUAGAUAUUCGGAAGAACACCAGUGGCGAAGGCGACUGACUGGACGUGUAUUGACGCUGAGGUGCGAAAGCGUGGGGAGCAAACAGG
rnacentral:rRNA from 2 species